UCACCCGCACAGCCCAUGUGCACGCCCAUUUCAUUUUCUUCUUCUCCCUUUCUUCUUUCUUCUUCUUUGUUCUGCUGCGUGAGUGACCCACAGAGAGAUUGAGAGUGAGAGAGAGACCGAGUAAGAGGGGGAGAUUAUGAGAGAUUGGGGGAGGGAAGAGAGACAGAGAGCGUGAGAUAGAGGGAGACCGAGAGAUGCUGAGAGAGAUGAGUUCAGGAGAGUUGAGGGAGAUGUAGCCCGACCUCCGGUGGAGAACGCCGACGAAGCCAAAGCCAAGGAUUUCCGGUGACCCGAGCAACCACAAACCCGAGAGAGAAGACCCGCAACCCGUGAGCUCAAACCCGUACGACCCGAGCAACCCAGAACCCGACGGCUUGAAGGCUAGUUUUCCGGCGGUUCCAGUGGAUUUCCGGCGAAGACCCGUUGACCCACGAAGGCCCGUAGCCCAGAAUCCCUCAGACCCGCGACCCAUGACCCGUUGAACCCAUGUGGAGACCCGAUUCUCCAUGUGUGCUUUCCGGCGGCUACGUGUGUUUUCCGGCGACUUACAGAGACUACUCCGGCGAUAUCUCCGGAUAGUGUCCAGAUUGGAGACUGCAAGGGGUUCUCCAAUGUUGAGUUCGAGUCAAGAGUCCAAUGCAGUCAAGAUGAUGUUUCUUUGGCUGCAGGUACUUCGGUAUAGUCGAUGGGUCGGUAGCAGUGUGCUUGGGAUAUUAUGACUGAAGCUCGCCGCGACAGUUGUAAUUGUCGGACCAUGGGUUGUCCACUAUUUUAUAGGUUUGGUAUGGCUUGUGACGUUUGUGUCACUUAUUAUUUGUUAAGCCAUUAUUGUUAUAGUGUUAAUAAGACUCAAACAGAUAGAUGUUAAAUGGCUCUUUGUUGUAAUUAAUUUGUGAUAGAUGUAUAAGUUGUAAUUUCCGCUAUUCAGAUUUAUGUUUUCCGCUGCA